UAUUGCACAAUGGGCGCAAGCCUGAUGCAGCGACGCCGCGUGAGUGAAGAAGUAUCUCGGUANUUAAAGCACUAUCAGCAGGGAANNACNNNANGGUACCUGACUAAGAAGCCCCGGCUAACUACGUGCCAGCAGCCGCGGUAAUAUGUAGGGGGCAAGCGUUAUCCGGAUUUACUGGGUGUAAAGGGAGCGUAGACGGCGACGCAAGUAUGGAGUGAAAGCCCGGGGCCCAACCCCGGGACUGCUUUGGAAACUGUGCUGCUGGAGUGCAGGAGAGGUAAGUGGAAUUCCUAGUGUAGCGGUGAAAUGCGUAGAUAUUAGGAGGAACACCAGUGGCGAAGGCGGCUUACUGGACUGUAACUGACGUUGAGGCUCGAAAGCGUGGGGAGCAA
rnacentral:rRNA from 1 species